rnacentral:siRNA from 1 species
CCUAACGGCGUGCCUCGGCAU